rnacentral:rRNA from 1 species
GAUGAACGCUGGCGGCGUGCCUAAUACAUGCAAGUCGAGCGAAGCGGGGACGGGUGAGUAACACGUGGAUAACCUCCUAUAAGACUGGGAUAACUUCGGGAAACCGGAGCUAAUCCGGAUACUUAUAGAUGGAUCCGCGCUGCAUUAGCUAGUUGGUAAGGUAACGGCUUACCAAGGCAACGAUGCAUAGCCGACCUGGGAGGGGAAUCGGCCACACGGGAACGGAGAAACGGCCCAGAGUCCUACGGGAGGAAGCAUUAGGGAGGCUUUCGUAAUGGGAGGAAGACUGAUGGACCAACGCCGCAUGAGGGAUGAAGGUCUGAGGAUUGUAAGACCUAGUUAGUAGAGAAGCGGGACGUAAGACGAAAGCAACGGCUAACUACGUGCCAGCCGCCGCGGUAAUAC